rnacentral:snRNA from 1 species
UACCAUUAUGUUGUGAUUAGGAUUUUUUUUAUUUUUACAGAGAAGAUUAGCAUGGCCCUUGCACAAGGAUGACACGCAAAUUCGUGAAGCUUUCCAUAUUUUU